CGUGUGCUGUUGUCGGUUCGAGACAGCCAUGAGCCAUACAGUUUACGACAACGAUUCACGAAAUUUAUAUCCAAUCGCAAGUUCGCAUGACUAAAUACGUGCAAAAACGGAAAUAAACGAACUGUUCCGAAUGUACUCCGUGAACGCGGAAGACGUCUGCACAAACCAGGAAAAGCGCAUAACAGUUUCGAUAUAAAAAUGAACCCGAUCUUUCAUACAUUACUAUUUCCCAAGUAGUCGUCAGUCAACCAGCAACAUGAAAGUUACAGCUCUUGCACUUUUCGCCCUUCUCGGAGCAAUCGGUGUGGCCCUCGGUGCCGGGUACGGAUACGGGGGUUACACAUACGUGCCAGCAUACAGCUACGGACAACAAGGCGGACUAGGAUCCGGAGAUGGUAGCUUCUUGAUGCUGAUCGGAUUCUUGUUCCUGAUCUUGAUCUUGUUCAGCGGUAACCUGUUCAACACCACCUCAACAGCUACGACCACACCCAUCACCAUCCUCCAGGGUUAAAUAUGAUUUACUUGUAGUUGCCAUUUGAACAGAGCCAUCCCUGAGCCAGUUAGACCUUCAAUGUUCCAUCAAUGUUCCUCAUUUCUUUAUGUGUUGUAUUAUUCAUGUUGUAUGUUGACUGACCCGAGUGUACACGUUAUUUAUGUGAUAACCCUUGUAUAUAUUAUCAUGAAAUCCAUCAUUCCAUUCUAUAAAAACAAAUAAAAUUGUCAUUAUCUGA